AACGCACAUUGCGCUCCCCGGUAUUCCGGAGAGCAUGCCUGUUUGAGCAUCAUUUGAACACAUCAUGCCGCCUUUGGCCUGGGCUCGUUCCCUGGUCUCGUGGAGAGCAUGGAAAUGGAAGUUUUCGAAGCCCUCGAGGCGACGGCAUCUUCUGAAAACCAUGGUGCAUCCCCGUCCGGAGGGACCCGCGGAUAGCUGCGCAACAAAGGGAUUUGCUCUUCUUUUUACGCAUGCGUCUGGCUGGGUGAAGCUUCUUUCGGACGAGGGAGGCAAUGUCCAGGUUGCCAAGGUUCUUGAAACCUUGGGGGCUGCUCGGGCGGAAUUCGACGGCUAGGCACGAAACGCGUUUCGCGGCCUUUGCCCGAAAGACAUGGUCUCAAAUCAGGCAGGAAAACCCGCUGAACUUAA
rnacentral:misc_RNA from 1 species